AGAAAUUGUUCACAUUUUUUACGACACUUGAGGGGUUGUACGACAAAGGCAUCGUCGGGAAUGGUGAAAGAGGAAUCACCCUCGAUAACCACGACCGACUAGCUAUACUAUAGAGAUAUCAUCAGGAGUACUUAGCGAGGUGUCACCCUCGGUACCCGAUAGUAUCUGUGUAGCGCCGUACAACUAAGGGGGUGCAUGUGUUGUGUCGGGUCUGGCUCGUCGAUCAGGGAUCGAUAUUUGAGAACAAGCGGAGCAACUGAACUACGGGGUCAGAGGGGAUGACUGCUCCACCUAUACUAAGCAUAUUAAAGGUACAUGACUGAAAGUAGCAGUUCAUCAAAAAUAGGCUAUGCAUCAGAUAUAGGAGCUAACUACAACAGUAGCAAAAUACUAAUGCAAGCAGUAGGAAGAAAGACAUAGGCGAUAUAUGAAUAAUCAAAGGGGGGUUUGCUUGCCUUGUUGCUCUGUGGCAAAACAGAUCCUCGACCGGGAAGUAGUCGAUCACCGGAUCAUCAUCGGUCUCGGGGCCUACCGGAACGGAAGACGAAGGGGAAACACAAUAAAUA
rnacentral:lncRNA from 1 species